UCGCACGAGAAGGAAAGAUAAAAGGUUUUACUGGUGUUGAUGAUACUUACGAGCCACCUUUGAAUUGUGAGAUAGUCAUCUCACCAGCAGAUGGAGAGUGUCCUCCUCCAGGCACCAUGGCCAAGCAAGUGAUUUCAUACCUACAUGAGAAUGGAUUUCUGAAGGCUUAAAUCUUUGGGUUAGUGUGUCCACACCUCGUUGACACUGAUGAGCCGACCCUCUUAUCCCUUAAUAAUGAAGAAGGAAGUGAUAAUAAUGAAAAAAGAAAAAGAAAACAACAAGCAUCUUUGGCUCUGCGCAAUAGUCAUUUCUUUCACGAAAAAUUAUUCUGUGCAGACGUCGAACACCCUCCGGAGACCAAUCAGAAUGCGUCACGUCAUUCUUUUGCUCGGUACCACGGCUCGGUAUGCUGAUGUGAUUGCACCUGAUUCACCUCCAGAUAUAGAGCUGCAUCCGGCAUCCGCAUAGAAUAAUUUAUCUUCUUUCACCAACUGAUGUAGGUAUAAUUUGUGUAUAAUUAUUAGGAUGUUGCAGAAUAAAAUGUUUUUUUUUUUUUAAUUUAAGAUUAGAUCAAUCUUUGUAUGCAAUUCAAUGUAUACCAGUUAGUUGCUGCAUUAGAAUUUUUUUGUAUUAUCUAUUGGAAUAAAAGAUGGUAGAAUCAUCUGUGAUGUGUAA